rnacentral:rRNA from 1 species
GACGAACGCUGGCGGCGUGCUUAACACAUGCAAGUCGAGCGGUAAGGCCCUUUCGGGGGUAUACGAGCGGCGAACGGGUGAGUAACACGUGAGCAACCUGCCCUUCUCUUUGGAAUAAGCGUUGGAAACGACGUCUAAUGCCGAAUAUGACCCCCUUGCGCCUGGUGGGGGGUGGAAAGCUCCGGCGGAGAAGGAUGGGCUCGCGGCCUAUCAGCUUGUUGGUGUGGGUAAUGGCCCACCAAGGCGACGACGGGUAGCCGGCCUGAGAGGGUGACCGGCCACACUGGGACUGAGACACGGCCCAGACUCCUACGGGAGGCAGCAGUGGGGAAUAUUGGACAAUGGGCGAAAGCCUGAUCCAGCAACGCCGCGUGAGGGAUGACGGCCUUCGGGUUGUAAACCUCUUUCAGCAGGGACGAAGCGAGAGUGACGGUACCUGCAGAAGAAGGACCGGCCAACUACGUGCCAGCCGCCGCCGUAA